UACGUAGGGCGCAAGCGUUAUCCGGAAUUAUUGGGCGUAAAGGGCUCGUAGGCGGCGUGUCGCGUCGGGGAGUGAAAGCCCGCUGCUUAACGGCGGGUUGGCUUCCGGUACGGGCAUCGCUGGAGUGCGGCAGGGGAGACUGGAAUUCCUGGUGUAGCGGUGGAAUGCGCAGAUAUCAGGAGGAACACCCGUGGCGAAGGCGGCUCUCUGGAACGCAACUGACGCUGAGACGCGAAAGCGUGGGGAGCAAACAGG
rnacentral:rRNA from 1 species